rnacentral:misc_RNA from 1 species
UUUGGUUGAAACUGUAUAGAUAGUUGACAUGGUUCAGAACCUAGAAGCUAUCAAGGGCAGUGGAGGUUCCAUCAAGGUGGGGACCACUGGAACAAUCAGUGCACUGNNNNNNNNNNNNAUUAAAUCUGCAUCACAGGCAUCAGUAUCUCAUCAAGAUAAGCCUAAGACUGUUCCUAUCUCAGUUCCCUGUAGUGCAACUACUCCUAGAAGACUACGAGCAAGAAAAUCAUUGGAUGAAGCAAGCAGCAGUGGUAGUAGCAGCAGUACUAAAUGUAGAAGCCCUGAAACAGCUCGGAAGAUGAAAAGCUACACUAAAAGUGCCCAUCGAAUGCCAAUGCUCCGUUCUGAGAAUGUAACACUGGAGAGAAC